GUUGCGGUAGCUCAGUUGGUAGAGCAUAGAUGUGUGUGGGAAUCAUCUUCUUCCAGGAGGUCAACUUACACAUACUUCUGCAAUGAGAGCCUAGUGUCGCAGGUUCGAGUCCUGCCCGCAGCC
rnacentral:tRNA from 1 species